rnacentral:rRNA from 1 species
UACAGAGGUCCCGAGCGUUGUUCGGAUUCACUGGGCGUAAAGGGUGCGUAGGUGGUUGGGUAAGUUUGGUGUGAAAGCUCAGGGCUUAACCCUGAAAUGGCAUUGAAUACUACUUAACUGGAGGUUUGGAGGGGGGACUGGAAUUCUUGGUGUAGCAGUGAAAUGCGUAGAUAUCAAGAGGAACACCAGUGGCGAAGGCGAGUCCCUGGACAACACCUGACACUGAGGCACGAAAGCUAGGGGAGCAAACAGG